UUAACUAGAAUUUUAACAAAGUCAAUCUACUCUUAUCCCAAGCAAAGUCCUAAGGACCUCGAUUUAUACCCACAAAAUAUAGAUAUUAUGAGAUAAUUCAUUGAACUUCUAGUACCAAAUAUCAAUCAAAAUCUUAAGUUCUACCCCACUCUCAUUAUUAAACUAAAUUUUAAGAUCUUAAACCUAUGCUCUGAUACCACUCUAUCAUACUCUGAAUUUGGUAC
rnacentral:lncRNA from 1 species